AGAGUGUUAUGAUGUUGGAUGUUAUGCAUCCGAGUCUAGCUCGUUGCAACUCUCCGGUUUUACCGGAGAGC
rfam:Vagococcus lutrae LBD1 adhBo-supercont1.20, whole genome shotgun sequence.